CCGCCUCUUCUCGCCGGGAGAUGAAGCGCGCCUGGGGCCUGUCCGCGCCGUGGGCUCCGCUCCGACCGCACGUUCUUCGCUAAGGUGUUCCCUGACCGGGUGUUUGGUGCCCCGAGAGUCAGUUCCUACCUUGGGUGUGCCGGGUGGCUUGUCCCUCAGGGGCGUUGGGCCGUGCGUCAGAGGGCUGAGGUGCCCCGCGGAGGUCGCUGCCUUUAUCAGCUUCCCUCCUCUCCCGAGCUUCCCGUCUGGCUGGCUCACUGUUAACCGUGUAGGCAGAGCCCCAACCCCGUAAGUGAUGAUCGGGCUUCCCAGUGUGGUGAAAUGUGGAAUUCAAACAUCCUCUGUAGGUCUGGGUGAUGGAAACUCAUUUACAUGUGUUACAAGAAAAGGUGAUCCCCUGCACAUGUCCAUAGUUGGAACAUGAAGAGGGAAGUAUGUAAAGAAGAGGUGCUACUGUGAAUCAGCAAUAGGAAUUUUCUUCUGCUGAAGCAGCCAGAACACCCGCUGAUCCAAGAGGUCGUAUUUGCUAAGCAGUUGUCUGCCUCGGAAGGCCAAGCCAAGCUAAACUCGACUGUCAGCUUGCAAAGCUGUAAGAAAAAUUUCCCUAUCUAUUAAGCAACCUAAAAUAAACAACUGGAACCCAUAUAUCCAGUGAAAAAACCCUCAAUUACUUAAGAAACUGGAGAACUGAUGCUUUUUGCAAGCAGACAGGCUUGAUGAGAAAUUCACUCUCUUCCCAAUCUAAUGAAAGUCUGGAAGUCUUGCUUUUGCUGUUUGCAUUUGCUUAUUCACUUUUCUACUUGUAUUUUCAAAAUGUGAAGCCCUAAACCAAGGCUAACUGGGUCAGGCUUCCCAAAUCCUACAAUUUGGCACUUGGAGACUUCCUAGACAUUUUAUGCCAUUUUCAUCACUUGGCAUUGCUGUAUUUGAUGCACUAGGUGUGAAAAUGUCUUCAGCCUCAGUGUUUCUUUCCAGUCAGUUUUUUUGCUUUACCAUGAAUCAUAUGUAACACUGACAGACGGUGUCUGCAGUGCUGUUCUUUUAUUCCUGCAGAUCUAGGUUCCCUUUUAUGUGACUUCAUUGCCGAAACCUCAUCAUCCCCUUUGCAUUCUUAUUGCACUAUCAUAAAAUGAUUUGUUUUCUUUGACAAUAAUUUAAAUACUGAAACCUCAUUUUCUACUCCAAAACACUGAAAUUCAUCUGGGAAAACAGUCCUAUCAUUAUAAAAAUGUCUCGAGGGUAUUGAAAUUAAUUUCAGUCAUUCGUUUAAGGGUCAGCAUUAAUUUGUUUUCUAAAAUAUAACUACAAAACCUUUGCGCUGUUUGGAGUACUUUUGUUUUGAACAAAACAGACCUAGGAGCAGCUCUGCUCCAAAACCAAGUAAGGGAAUGAGGCACGCAUAGAGCAGUUAGUUAAAAAGAAAAGAAAAAUAUCCAGUUCUCUUGUGCCUGGGGGGAGGGAGAAGGGAAAAAAUAUCAGUAUUUUUUAACAUGUAAUUUGUUCCACCAGUAGUACUGGCCACCCUGUUGAAGAGCUUUAGAAGAUCCCUGAGCACAUUAGUUUCUGACUUUUAACCCCAGCUCCAAAAUGAUAGGGCUUUCUGUUGUUGAUAGCGAGAUGGAUUGUCAUUCACAGUUAAGUCAAUCAUAAGGUGCUUAGCUAUUUACCCUUUGUCACCAAUCAGCACAAAGAACUGUCAGAAAAUAGCUUUUAUUUCUCUUUUUUUUAAAUAAUAAAAGGGCACAAAUUUUAAACAACGUUUUGUGACAGUGGUUUAGGAUUAUUAUCUGGCUGCCCCUCAACAACAGACAAGUGAUUCAGUCGACAUUCCUUAGGAAAAAAAAAAAAGGCAAAAAAAAAAAAAGAAAAAUCCUGUACAAAUAUGUAUUUUUCCCUGAGGGAUCAAGGUUACACCCGCAAGUGCUCUAUGUACAUAUUGCACUGUAGAGGAAUGAAGAACAUGUGCAAAAAAAGCAACAAUGAUUGAAGCUUACUAAUCAAACCGUUUAAUCGUGACCGCUAUGUCAGCUUGCAUUUUGGAAUGUCGGAACACAGCUAUUCCUUUAGGCUAGAAUGUAAAAACAACGAGAAAACAAAAAAAAAGAAAAACACACCUCUACUAUGGCACAUUCAAUGAAAUAAAAAGUUUUUCAAAGACAAAUAGACAAAUUCCAUCAAGAAAAUAAUACAAAGUUCGUUCGUUUGUGGUUUUUUUUUUUUUGUUUUUUAGAAAAAUUACAUUACUUUCUUUCAUUGUUUCACAUUACAAAAUUUUUUCUUGUUUACACAAAUCACAUUUUAUUGCAGGAAUAUUUCAAGUGCCAUCAAACAUUUAUAGAAGGGUUAAAAAAAUAGAAGUCUCUCUAAAGUGGUCCAGACAAGGCUUUGUAUAGAAUAAAUCUUUUUUCCACCUUCUA